UUACACGCGUAAAAACGCACAGCUUGUAACAAGUCUGCAAACAAGUUGUUACAAGUCUGUUCACAAGCUGUCAACAAGUUGUGUUCGCACUGCUUGUAUCCAGUUGUUGCAACAAGUUUGUUACAAGCUGUUAACAACUUGCAACAAGCUUGAUGGCAUUAUCAGACUUGUUACAAGACUGUGCUAACAAGUUUUUACGGCCAUGAUAUAACAAGCAAGUUACAAGGUUGUCAACACAAGGUUGUAACAAUUUGUUAUAUCAAGCAUGUAACGGACUUGUCAGAACAACCUUGUAACAAGUCUGAUAAUUUCGGCAAGGUCGUUACAAGUUGUCAACAAGUUGUUCCAAAACUGUUCACAACUUGUGACAAGCAGUGCGAAGAC